GUGGGUGUAGCUCAGUCGGUUAGAGCGUCUGAUUGUGGUCCAGAAGGUCGUCGGUUCAAUUCCGAUCACCCACCCCA
rnacentral:tRNA from 2 species